AGUCUACACAUGCAGUCGAACGGUAACAGGAAACAGCUUGCUGUUUCGCUGACGAGUGGCGGACGGGUGAGUAAUGUCUGGGAAACUGCCUGAUGGAGGGGGAUAACUACUGGAAACGGUAGCUAAUACCGCAUAACGUCGCAAGACCAAAGAGGGGGACCUUCGGGCCUCUUGCCAUCGGAUGUGCCCAGAUGGGAUUAGCUAGUAGGUGGGGUAACGGCUCACCUAGGCGACGAUCCCUAGCUGGUCUGAGAGGAUGACCAGCCACACUGGAACUGAGACACGGUCCAGACUCCUACGGGAGGCAGCAGUGGGGAAUAUUGCACAAUGGGCGCAAGCCUGAUGCAGCCAUGCCGCGUGUAUGAAGAAGGCCUUCGGGUUGUAAAGUACUUUCAGCGGGGAGGAAGGGAGUAAAGUUAAUACCUUUGCUCAUUGACGUUACCCGCAGAAGAAGCACCGGCUAACUCCGUGCCAGCAGCCGCGGUAAUACGGAGGGUGCAAGCGUUAAUCGGAAUUACUGGGCGUAAAGCGCACGCAGGCGGUUUGUUAAGUCAGAUGUGAAAUCCCCGGGCUCAACCUGGGAACUGCAUCUGAUACUGGCAAGCUUGAGUCUCGUAGAGGGGGGUAGAAUUCCAGGUGUAGCGGUGAAAUGCGUAGAGAUCUGGAGGAAUACCGGUGGCGAAGGCGGCCCCCUGGACGAAGACUGACGCUCAGGUGCGAAAGCGUGGGGAGCAAACAGGAUUAGAUACCCUGGUAGUCCACGCCGUAAACGAUGUCGACUUGGAGGUUGUGCCCUUGAGGCGUGGCUUCCGGAGCUAACGCGUUAAGUCGACCGCCUGGGGAGUACGGCCGCAAGGUUAAAACUCAAAUGAAUUGACGGGGGCCCGCACAAGCGGUGGAGCAUGUGGUUUAAUUCGAUGCAACGCGAAGAACCUUACCUGGUCUUGACAUCCACGGAAGUUUUCAGAGAUGAGAAUGUGCCUUCGGGAACCGUGAGACAGGUGCUGCAUGGCUGUCGUCAGCUCGUGUUGUGAAAUGUUGGGUUAAGUCCCGCAACGAGCGCAACCCUUAUCCUUUGUUGCCAGCGGUCCGGCCGGGAACUCAAAGGAGACUGCCAGUGAUAAACUGGAGGAAGGUGGGGAUGACGUCAAGUCAUCAUG
rnacentral:rRNA from 1 species